UACGAAGGGUGCAAGCGUUACUCGGAAUUACUGGGCGUAAAGAGCGCGCAGGCGGUCGUUCAAGUCGCGUGUGAAAGCCCCCGGCUCAACUGGGGAGGGUCACGCGAUACUGAUCGACUCGAAGGCAGGAGAGGGAAGUGGAAUUCCCGGUGUAGUGGUGAAAUGCGUAGAUAUCGGGAGGAACACCAGUGGCGAAGGCGACUUCCUGGCCUGUUCUUGACGCUGAGGCGCGAAAGCUAGGGGAGCAAACGGG
rnacentral:rRNA from 1 species